rnacentral:tRNA from 1 species
ACUUGGGUAGUUUAGUUUAAAAAUUUUGAUUUGUGGUGUCAAAGAGAUAGAUAUAUCUAUUCCAGGUC